rnacentral:sRNA from 2 species
CAUUCUCACUCUGGGGAGUAGCUUCUCUUGCAUUGCAAGAGGCACGUAUCAACAUACUUGGGAACAUCCCAUGGUACAUGCGCCGCAAGGUUAGCAAGACCAGUAGUAAAUGACUUCUUUAGUGUCGAGCUUAGAAGUGGU